rnacentral:rRNA from 1 species
UACGGGGGGGGGCAAGCGUUGUUCGGAAUUACUGGGCGUAAAGGGCUCGUAGGCGGCCAACUAAGUCGGAUGUGAAAUCCCCAGGCUUAACCUGGGAACUGCAUCCGAUACUGGAUGGCUUGAAUCCGGGAGAGGGAUGCAGAAUUCCAGGUGUAGCGGUGAAAUGCGUAGAUAUCAGGAGGAACACCGGUGGCGAAGGCGGAUCUCUGGGCCGAUACUGACGCUGAGGAGCGAAAGCGUGGGGAGCGAACAGG